rfam:Solanum lycopersicum cultivar Heinz 1706 chromosome 10, whole genome shotgun sequence.
GUCCCGUUGGGGACAUCCGAUAAAAUUGGAACGAUACGGAGAAGAUUAGCAUGGCUCCUGCGCAAGGAUAACACGCACAAAUCGAGAAAUGAUCCAAAUAUUU